rnacentral:sRNA from 1 species
UGAGAUGUUGGGUGCAAGACUUAUUC